rnacentral:sRNA from 26 species
UCCAUGGCAAAUAGAUAACAACCUAAGAGAGUUGUGUUUAUCCCUGUAUGGUCGUAAUUUUAGAAGUUUAAGCAAAUAAAGAUUGUAUGGCUAAGCUUUUGUUUAAAAAUAAAAUAAAAGAUGUUGAAAUAGUUAUUUGUUUAAAUGGAAUAGGUUAACCGUAUGACCUUGAUUUGAAAAAAUUUUAAAAUAAACUCUAGGUUUCAAAUGUUUUAAUUUAGAGUUACGGUAUU